UGGUGGGUAGUUUGACUGGGGCGGUCUCCUCCUAAAGAGUAACGGAGGAGCACGAAGGUUGGCUAAUCCUGGUCGGACAUCAGGAGGUUAGUGCAAUGGCAUAAGCCAGCUUGACUGCGAGCGUGACGGCGCGAGCAGGUGCGAAAGCAGGUCAUAGUGAUCCGGUGGUUCUGAAUGGAAGGGCCAUCGCUCAACGGAUAAAAGGUACUCCGGGGAUAACAGGCUGAUACCGCCCAAGAGUUCAUAUCGACGGCGGUGUUUGGCACCUCGAUGUCGGCUCAUCACAUCCUGGGGCUGAAGUAGGUCCCAAGGGUAUGGCUGUUCGCCAUUUAAAGUGGUACGCGAGCUGGGUUUAGAACGUCGUGAGACAGUUCGGUCCCUAUCUGCCGUGGGCGCUGGAGAACUGAGGGGGGCUGCUCCUAGUACGAGAGGACCGGAGUGGACGCAUCACUGGUGUUCGGGUUGUCAUGCCAAUGGCACUGCCCGGUAGCUACAUGCGGAAGAGAUAAGUGCUGAAAGCAUCUAAGCACGAAACUUGCCCCGAGAUGAGUUCUCCCUGAGACUUAGAGUCUCCUGAAGGAACGUUGAAGACGACGACGUUGAUAGGCCGGGUGUGUAAGCGCAGCGAUGCGUUGAGCUAACCGGUACUAAUGAACCGUGAGGCUUAACCUUACAACGCCGAAG
rnacentral:rRNA from 2 species